rnacentral:rRNA from 1 species
GAUGAACGCUGACAGAAUGCUUAACACAUGCAAGUCAACUUGGACUUCGGUUUGGGUGGCGGACGGGUGAGUAACGCGUAAAGAACUUGCCUCACAGAUAGGGACAACAUUUGGAAACGAAUGCUAAUACCUGAUAUUAUGAUUUUAGGGCAUCCUAGAAUUAUGAAAGCUAUAUGCGCUGUGAGAGAGCUUUGCGUCCCAUUAGCUAGUUGGAGAGGUAACGGCUCACCAAGGCGAUGAUGGGUAGCCGGCCUGAGAGGGUGAUCGGCCACAAGGGGACUGAGACACGGCCCUUACUCCUACGGGAGGCAGCAGUGGGGAAUAUUGGACAAUGGACCAAGAGUCUGAUCCAGCAAUUCUGUGUGCACGAUGAAGUUUUUCGGAAUGUAAAGUGCUUUCAGUUGGGAAGAAAAAAAUGACGGUACCAACAGAAGAAGUGACGGCUAAAUACGUGCCAGCAGCCGCGGUAAUACGUAUGUCACAAGCGUUAUCCGGAUUUAUUGGGCGUAAAGCGCGUCUAGGUGGUUAUAUAAGUCUGAUGUGAAAAUGCAGGGCUCAACUCUGUAUUGCGUUGGAAACUGUGUAACUAGAGUACUGGAGAGGUAAGCGGAACUACAAGUGUAGAGGUGAAAUUCGUAGAUAUUUGUAGGAAUGCCGAUGGGGAAGCCAGCUUACUGGACAGAUACUGACGCUAAAGCGCGAAAGCGUGGGUAGCAAACAGG